rnacentral:rRNA from 1 species
GGGCGUAAAGAGCUCGUAGGCGGUUGGUCGCGUCGGCUGUGAAAACCCGGAGCUCAACUCCGGGCCUGCAGUCGAUACGGGCCGACUCGAGUGGUGCAGGGGAGACUGGAAUUCCUGGUGUAGCGGUGAAAUGCGCAGAUAUCAGGAGGAACACCGGUGGCGAAGGCGGGUCUCUGGGCAUCAACUGACGCUGAGGAGCGAAAGCGUGGGGAGCGAACAGGAUUAGAUACCCUGGUAGUCCACGCCGUAAACGUUGGGCGCUAGGUGUGGGGGCCAUUCCACGGUCUCCGUGCCGCAGCUAACGCAUUAAGCGCCCCGCCUGGGGAGUACGGCCGCAAGGCUAAAACUCAAAGGAAUUGACGGGGGCCCGCACAAGCGGCGGAGCAUGUUGCUUAAUUCGAUGCAACGCGAAGAACCUUACCUAGGCUUGACAUGCGCGGAAAUCUUCCAGAGAUGGGGGGUCCGUAAGGGCCGUGCACAGGUGGUGCAUGGUUGUCGUCAGCUCGUGUCGUGAGAUGUUGGGUUAAGUCCCGCAACGAGCGCAACCCUCGUUCCAUGUUGCCAGCGGAUCAUGCCGGGGACUCAUGGGAGACUGCCGGGGUCAACUCGGAGGAAGGUGGGGAUGACGUCAAAUCAUCAUGCCCCUUAUGUCUAGGGCUGCAAACAUGCUACAAUGGCCGGUACAAAGGGCUGCGAUACCGCGAGGUGGAGCGAAUCCCAAAAAGCCGGUCUCAGUUCGGAUUGGGGUCUGCAACUCGACCCCAUGAAGUUGGAGUCGCUAGUAAUCG